rnacentral:rRNA from 1 species
UGGGGAAUAUUGCACAAUGGGCGAAAGCCUGAUGCAGCGACGCCGCGUGAAGGAUGAAGUAUUUCGGUAUGUAAACUUCUAUCAGCAGGGAAGAAAAUGACGGUACCUGACUAAGAAGCCCCGGCUAACUACGUGCCAGCAGCCCGCGGUAAUCAUCAUCU